rnacentral:tRNA from 1 species
GCCAGCCUUUUGCGCAAGUGGCGUUCCUGGAUUUGCGGUUCCGGACAUGGAUGUUCUAGACGUUUAGGUUGGCG